rnacentral:rRNA from 1 species
GGAGUAUCGACCCUCUCUGUGCCGAAGCUAACGCUUUAAGUACCCCGCCUGGGGAGUACGGUCGCAAGACUAAAACUCAAAGGAAUUGACGGGGGCCCGCACAAGCAGCGGAGCGUGUGGUUUAAUUCGAUGCUACACGAAGAACCUCACCAGGGCUUGACAUGUUAGAAGUAGUGAACUGAAAGGGAAACG